rnacentral:tRNA from 1 species
UUGUGUUUACUCCCAUUGGGGGGCUCUAAUGGGCUUGCAGACUGUUUUGUGGUGGGCCGGUAGCUCAGUUGGAAGAGCGCGCGCCUUGCACGCGCGAGGUCCCGAGUUCGAAAACGUCGAAAGUCUCGGCCGGUCCACCAUUUUUUACAUGAGGAUCAGGAUCCUUGGGGUUCUGGUCUGAUGGCCUAAAUAUUAAUUUAGGCCGUGUGCAGAGGAAGAGCGAUCUA